rnacentral:rRNA from 1 species
GACGAACGCUGGCGGCGUGCCUAAUACAUGCAAGUAGAACGCUGAAGGAGGAGCUUGCUUCUCUGGAUGAGUUGCGAACGGGUGAGUAACGCGUAGGUAACCUGCCUGGUAGCGGGGGAUAACUAUUGGAAACGAUAGCUAAUACCGCAUAAGAGUAGAUGUUGCAUGACAUUUGCUUAAAAGGUGCAAUUGCAUCACUACCAGAUGGACCUGCGUUGUAUUAGCUAGUUGGUGGGGUAACGGCUCACCAAGGACGAUACAUAGCCGACCUGAGAGGGUGAUCGGCCACACUGGGACUGAGACACGGCCCAGACUCCUACGGGAGGCAGCAGUAGGGAAUCUUCGGCAAUGGACGGAAGUCUGACCGAGCAACGCCGCGUGAGUGAAGAAGGUUUUCGGAUCGUAAAGCUCUGUUGUAAGAGAAGAACGAGUGUGAGAGUGGAAAGUUCACACUGUGACGGUAUCUUACCAGAAAGGGACGGCUAACUACGUG